AUUGAACGCUGGCGGCAUGCCUUACACAUGCAAGUCGAACGGCAGCACGGGUGCUUGCCCCUGGUGGCGAGUGGCGAACGGGUGAGUAAUACAUCGGAACAUGUCCUGUAGUGGGGGAUAGCCCGGCGAAAGCCGGAUUAAUACCGCAUACGAUCUACGGAUGAAAGCGGGGGCCCUUCGGGCCUCGCGCUAUAGGGUUGGCCGAUGGCUGAUUAGCUAGUUGGGGGGGUAAAGGCCUACCAAGGCGACGAUCAGUAGCUGGUCUGAGAGGACGACCAGCCACACUGGGACUGAGACACGGCCCAGACUCCUACGGGAGGCAGCAGUGGGGAAUUUUGGACAAUGGGCGAAAGCCUGAUCCAGCAAUGCCGCGUGUGUGAAGAAGGCCUUCGGGUUGUAAAGCACUUUUGUCCGGAAAGAAAUCCUUGGCCCUAAUACGGUCGGGGGAUGACGGUACCGGAAGAAUAAGCACCGGCUAACUACGUG
rnacentral:rRNA from 1 species